rnacentral:lncRNA from 1 species
GGGGAGGCUAGGGAUAGCAAGCCAGUAAUUAGUAAUAGGCUCUUUUCACCGAGGGAUCGGGUUAAGGGUAGGCUAAGAAAGUUGCAUGACAAUUAGUUAAUCAAGCUAAUAAAUCAAGAGGAGUAAAUAAGAGAGAGCGGAUAAGAUGAAAUUGUAAACCCCCAAGAAGUCCAUUCAUCCAUUGUUUUCUUUUCGUCAAUGGAAUCAAUCUCUUUUGCAUGUUUAUACUUUGUUCUCAUACCCAAUUAAUUAAUUUUUAUUUUCAAGUCUUACGAUCUUAAUU